rnacentral:tRNA from 1 species
GCCGCGGUGGCGGAACGGCAUACGCGAUGGACUCAAAAUCCAUUGUCCGCAAGGACUUGAGAGUUCAAAUCUCUCCCGCGGCA